rnacentral:misc_RNA from 1 species
GUCUAACUGGAGCCUCCAUAUGUCCUUAGCUAGAUGCAGAUGCUCCAGAAAACAUACUUCAUAAACAAUUGUAUGAUAGUGCAACUAAAAUCAUCACUCUUCCCAUUUUAACCCAAGAAAUGUGUCUUAGCUUCCUCCAAAAUAAUUUGUUUCAAAUUCACAUUUACCAUAGAUCUAAAGAUUGCUCACAGAUCAGUUAAUAUUCUUGCAUAUAAUUUUCCAGUUGAAGGCUCUUAGGAUUCCUACCAUUGAUUGAAUCAUGGAUUCACUACAUUUAUGCAUGCAUUAGAAUAAGUGCAAGAAGAUUCUUCACAUUUAUGUAUUCUGUUUUAUGGGACAGUUAUUCAUACAUCAACUGACUAACUAUAUAGCCCUCUUUUAGUCUAAGAUAAAGCAGGUUAUAUGGAUU